rnacentral:rRNA from 1 species
GAGCGGCGAACGGGUGAGUAACACGUGGGUGAUCUGCCUUGCACUCUGGGAUAAGCCUGGGAAACUGGGUCUAAUACCGGAUAUGACCUGCAGUUGCAUGACUGUGGGUGGAAAGAUUUAUCGGUGCAAGAUGAGCCCGCGGCCUAUCAGCUUGUUGGUGGGGUAAUGGCCUACCAAGGCGACGACGGGUAGCCGGCCUGAGAGGGCGACCGGCCACACUGGGACUGAGACACGGCCCAGACUCCUACGGGAGGCAGCAGUGGGGAAUAUUGCACAAUGGGCGGAAGCCUGAUGCAGCGACGCCGCGUGAGGGAUGACGGCCUUCGGGUUGUAAACCUCUUUCGACUCCGACGAAGCGAAAGUGACGGUAGGAGUAUAAGAAGCACCGGCCAACUACGUGCCAGCAGCCGCGGUAAUACGUAGGGUGCGAGCGUUGUCCGGAAUUACUGGGCGUAAAGAGCUUGUAGGCGGCUUGUCGCGUCGAUCGUGAAAACUCGGGGCUCAACCCCGAGCUUGCGGUCGAUACGGGCAGGCUUGAGUACUUCAGGGGAGACUGGAAUUCCUGGUGUAGCGGUGAAAUGCGCAGAUAUCAGGAGGAACACCGGUGGCGAAGGCGGGUCUCUGGGAAGUAACUGACGCUGAGAAGCGAAAGCGUGGGUAGCGAACAGGAUUAGAUACCCUGGUAGUCCACGCCGUAAACGGUGGGUACUAGGUGUGGGUUUCCUUCCACGGGAUCCGUGCCGUAGCUAACGCAUUAAGUACCCCGCCUGGGGAGUACGGCCGCAAGGCUAAAACUCAAAGGAAUUGACGGGGGCCCGCACAAGCGGCGGAGCAUGUGGAUUAAUUCGAUGCAACGCGAAGAACCUUACCUGGGUUUGACAUACACCGGAAACCUGCAGAGAUGUAGGCCCCCUUGUGGUCGGUGUACAGGUGGUGCAUGGCUGUCGUCAGCUCGUGUCGU